rnacentral:rRNA from 1 species
AACGAACGCUGGCGGCAGGCUUAACACAUGCAAGUCGAGCGCCCCGCUAGGGGCGCGUCGCACAGGUGUGUAUCACGUGGGAACAUACCUCUUUGUUCUCGAAAACUCCCCCAAACUGGAGCUAUAACCGGGGAAGCUCUCACCGGGAAAGAUUUAUCGCCCAAAGAUAUGCCCGCGUCUGAUUAGCUAGUUGGUGUGGUAACGGCUCACCCAGGCGACGAUCAGUAGCUGGUCUGAGAGGAUGAUCAGCCACACUGGGACUGAGACACGGCCCAGACUCCUACGGGAGGCAGCAGUGGGGAAUAUUGGACAAUGGGCGCAAGCCUGAUCCAGCCAUGCCGCGUGAGUGAUGAAGGCCUUAGGGUUGUAAAGCUCUUUUGUCCGGGAAGAUAAUGACUGUACCGGAAGAAUAAGCCCCGGCUAACUUCGUG